UACGUAGGGGGCAAGCGUUGUCCGGAUUUAUUGGGCGUAAAGAGCGUGUAGGCGGCCAUGCAGGUCAGCUGUGAAAACUCGAGGCUCAACCUCGAGACGUCGGUUGAAACCGUAUGGCUAGAGUCCGGAAGAGGAGAGUGGAAUUCCCGGUGUAGCGGUGAAAUGCGCAGAUAUCGGGAAGAACACCCGUGGCGAAGGCGGCUCUCUAGUACGGUACUGACGCUGAGACGCGAAAGCGUGGGGAGCGAACAGG
rnacentral:rRNA from 1 species